ensembl:lncRNA
GUUAAAGACCCCCACCCCCUCUACUCCAUCGAUAAUGCUGUUAAAGACCUCCCACCCCCUCUACUCCAUUGAUAAUGCUGUUAUUCUACACAGCAUUGAGGAUAUUAUGUCUUAAAAACAAGCCUGGCCUUUGGACCAUAAGACCUGUGACUGAUAUAGUGACUGUUAUAUUGACUGAUAUAGUGACUGAUAUAGAGAUUGAUCAUGAUUGAUAUAGAGACUGAUAUAAUGACUGAUAUAGUGACUGAUAGAGUGGCUGAUAUAGAGACUGAUUGUGACUGAUAUAGAGACGGAUAGUGACUGAUAGAGACUGAUAUAGUGACUGAUAUAGAGAUUGAUCAUGAUUGAUAUAGAGACCGAUAUAAUGACUGAUAUAGUGACUGAUAGAGUGGCUGAUAUAGAGACUGAUUGUGACUGAUAUAGAGACGGAUAGUGACUGAAAGUGACUGAUAUAGAGACUGAUAUAGAGACUGAUAUAGUGACUGAUAUAGAGACUGAUUGUGACUGAUUGUGACUGAUAUAGAGACUGAUAUAGAGACUGAUAUAGUGACUGAUAUAGUGACUGUUAUAGUGACUGAUAUAGAGACUGAUAUAGGGACUGAUAUAGGGACUGAUAUAGGGACUGUUAUAGUGACUGAUAUAGAGACUGAUAUAAGGACGGAUAGAGACUGAUAGAGACUGAUUGAGACUGAUAUAAUGACUGAUAUAGAGACUGAUAUAGAGAGUGAUAUAAUGACUGAUAGAGACUGAUAGUGACUUAUAUAAUGACUGAUAUAGAGUGAUAUAGUGACUGAUAUGGUGACUGAUAUAGGGACUGAUAUGGUGACUGAUAUAGCACCUUAUUCCUCGUUAUAGUGACUGAUAUAAUGACUGAUAUAAUGACUGAUAUAGUGACUGAUAUAAUGACUGAUAUAGUGACUGAUAUAGUGACUGAUAUAGUGACAUAUAAUGACUGAUAUAGUGACUGAUAUAGCACCUUAUUCCUCGUUAUAGUGACUGAUAUAAUGACUGAUAUAGAGUGAUAUAGUGACUGAUAUAGACUGAUAUAGUGACUGAUAUAGUGACUGAUAUAGCACCUUAUUCCUCGUUAUAAUGACUGAUAUAGAGUGAUAUAGUGACUGAUAUAGACUGAUAUAUCACCUUAUUCCUCGUUAUAGUGACUGAUAUAAUGACUGAUAUAGUGACUGAUAUAGCACCUUAUUCCUCGUUAUAGUGACUGAUAUAUGACUGAUAUAGAGACUGAUAUAGUGACUGAUAUAGCACCUUAUUCCUCGUUAUAGUGACUGAUAUAUGACUGAUAUAGUGACUGAUAUAGCACCUUAUUCCUCGUUAUAGUGACUGAUAUAGCACCUUAUUCCUCGUUAUAGUGACUGAUAUAGUGACUGAUAUAGCACCUUAUUCCUCGUUAUAGUGACUGAUAUAGUGACUGAUAUAGCACCUUAUUCCUCGUUAUAGUGACUGAUAGAGUGACUGAUAUAGCACCUUAUUCCUCGUUAUAGUGCGCUAUAUAGGGAUUGGGGUUCCAUUUGGGAUACACGUGAGGGACAAUUAGUAUCUGAUUGAUUUAAAACCAGGAGUUCCUUAUCAGAUACAAAUGUCUGAAUCUGUGAGGAACAUUGUGAAACACCAUGUCUCCUAGAGCCUACAGAGGACUUUGAUGGGUUUUUAUUCUAGCUAUGGAGAGUGAACUAACAUUCACUUUUCGUAUCAUUUUUUUUCUACAGGCUGCUUAGUAUGUAAUUGAACUGUAGUAGAUAAAUACUUCUACUUUAUUUUUUAUUUGUUCAAAUAGAAAAUUGUUCACUUGAUAUUUUAAGCUGGAAAAUGUUUUAUACCAUCUCAAGACCUGGCUCCACCAACAAGCGGAAUUCUCUUUUGGAAUUCAGAUUUCUCUUUUGGAAUUCAGAUUUCUCUUUUGGAAUUCAGAAUUCUCUUUUGGAAUUCAGAUUUCUCUUUUGGAAUUCAGAUUUCUCUUUUGGAAUUCAGAAUUCUCUUUUGGAAUUCAGAUUUCUCUUUUGGAAUUCAGAAUUCUCUUUUGGAAUUCAGAAUUCUCUUUUGGAAUUCAGAAUUCUCUUUUGGAAUUCAGAAUUCUCUUUUGGAAUUCAGAAUUCUCUUUUGGAAUUUGGAAUUGUCUUUUGGAAUUCAGAUUUCUCUUGGAAUUUGGAAUUGUCUUUUGGAAUUCGGCAGCCAUCUUGAAAGGCUAUCGAGGUGUCACUGUUAAAAAUGUCUUACACUGUUGAAAGAAACUAGUGUAGAUUGAAUUGAAAUCAACACACUGAAUUUGAAUAGUAAUUCUUAGUGUAGUAUUUGUAUUGAGUUGUUUUCUAUUGAACAUUGCAGCUUCAUAGUGUUUUCUGACAAUACAUAAAGGGAUCAAUCACUGUUAUGUUUGUUAGAUUCAAAUAAAAAAUACUACACAACUGAGUGUUGUAUUAUUAUUCAUUCAUUUCAAAGGAAUCCUUGUGUAUAUAUUCUAUAUACUCCAUUCAACAGGCACUAUUAUCCAGUGACUUUUAGUCAUCUGUGCAUACAUUUUACAUAUGAGUGGUCGCGGGAAUCGAACCCACUACCACUAGAAGCACCCUGCUAUACCAACUGAGCUACAGAGGCCCGCA